UACGAUGAUGGUGUAAUUUGCGUCUUAUGCUGUACACAGCAACAGUUGCCUACUGUUAUUAUGCUGGUACAGAAACAUGACGAACAUUUAGCUCUGAGCA